CCAGAAAACUGUGGGGUCAUUUGACCCCACAUGACCCCAUGUGGGUCCGCCCCUGCCAAAGGAGGAGUAAACGAAAAGACGUUUAAGCACUCCCUUAUCUUAUUCUGCCUUUGGAUCUCCACCAUAUGACGCAUAUUUUCAUAAUUGAUCUCAUCCAAGACAUGACCAGCAUCGUAAGUAACAUCUCGAAGGUUCUUGAGCCAGAGUUUGACAGCCUCAUCGGUAACUUCACGUUUCUCAGCAUCUUGUAAGAAAAGAUCCAUCAUUUUCAAUGAUCUGCCUAACUUUCUUAAGUCUUUCUUGAAACUCCACAGCAAACUCAACUCUGAAGUGGCGGAUGCAAGCAACUUUUCCACUGUCGCUUGAACGGUGGCACUGGUAACAACAUCCAUUGUCUUGCUUUGGAAUCGUGUAGUGUGUGGUUGAUUGGUUGAUUUUGGAGAUAAGAGAAAGAGAGAGAUAUACUUUGCUUUCUUUUCUCAAAUGGUUCCAUUCCAAUUCCGAUACUUUUGUUCUGCAUGCGCG
rnacentral:lncRNA from 1 species